GUCUUUAUUUUCUUUUCAAGACUUUUUAAAAGAACAGGGUGUUGAAUUAAGCCAAAGAGAAAACCCCUCACAUAGGUGAGUUUCUGAGGCCACUCUUUUUUUUUCCAUUUUUUAUUAGGUAUUUAACUCAUUUACAUUUCCAAUGCUAUACCAAAAGUCCCCCAUACCCACCCACCCCACUGAGGCCACUCUUGAGGUGGUGGAGCACAUGCGCAUCUCCCAACUGCCUGCAAUCAGGUUGGAAUGGGCCUCAUGCAGGUGAUGUAUUGAGAGCAUGCAAGAAACCAUCUGAAAAGCUGGGUACAGUGGUACAGGACCUUACACCAUCGCUGUGUAGUCCCAGUUCUCAGGAGGCGGGUUUGAGGUCAGCAGCCUGGUCUAAGAAAGAAGGGGUGGAGGGUGGAGAAGAAGAGAAGAGAGAAAGAGAAGAGCGGGAAGGAGGGAGUAGCUUCUCUGUGAAGCGCCAACCCCACCCCAGCCUCCCACCUCCACAACCAGAAGCAGAAGUCUGAGGCAGCAAGAUGCAUUCCCAGACUAAUGUCACUUCUCCUGCGAUGUGUGACUGCCAUCACAACGAGGAAUGAACUCAGGGAACCAUAUAGUUUCAUCUUAUUAAUGGUGCAGAAUUGUAAAGAGCAAAGAGGGUGUUGAAGCACAGUGGCUAGGAAAGAGUCAGCUGACACAGGUGAAGGGAAAGACUCCCGCGUAGGAAAUCCUGCAGUGCCGGCUCUGACCUCCAGGCGGCGGGCUCCUUGGAUCCACAUGCGAAGGGAGAAGGGGUUAAAAUGUUCGUCAUCCUAAUUGUUGCUAUUAACAAACUGUUGUGAAUUUGUAACUAAUAUCUUGUCGAGGGUGGAAGAGUUCCCAACAGUAAAAUGUGGAAAAACAUCCUCUGUGUAGACAUGCAUUCUGUUUGGGGCUUCUAAACAAAGAGAAGGCUCACCGGAGGGACAGUAUCUAAACCGAUAGAGGGCGUAUUUCACCGUCACAACUCUUCAGUGUGGGAUUGGGGUUACUGAGAAUUUUACUAAGUGCGGGUUUUUAUAGAAUGCUAAGGCAUGGGGAUGGUAGGGUAGAAAGAGCUAGUUUUCAAAGCUAGCAGGGUUAUUGCCAAAAUGUCACAUCCUUUUUAGCAGAGAGCUUAGUCAUUUUGUCACUUAAAUUCGGUCUAACGAGUUUAGCUAAAGUCCUUAGCCAAGUCCUCCAUCCUUGUCAUACAGCCGAGGGUUCGGGGUAAUUUAAGAGUACUUCUCUAUUUACCAAACAAGGCAGACCUUUCCUUGUCACCGAGUUUAAUGCCAGGCAAGUAAUUCUGUACUAUUCCACUAGAGGGAGCCAAAAGACUGCUUUAGAAUGUUUCACUGGCUUUCCUUCCUAAGACUAUUAAUGAUAUCCUGCUAUGUUUGCAGACAGGAGCCUAGUAUAACUGUCUCCUGAGAGGCUUCAUCCAGCAGCUGAUGGAAAGAUCCAGAGAGCCACAGCCAAACACUAGACCGAGCUUGGGGAAUCUUGUGGAAGAGUUGGGGAUGGGACUGAGGAAGCCAGAGAGGACACCACAAGAAGACCUACAGAGUCAACUAACUUGAGCCCAUUGGGGCUCACAGAAACUGAACCUCCAACCAAAGAGCAUGAAGGAGCUGGACCUAGGCCCCAUACACUUUUGUAACGGAUAUGCAGCUUGGUUUUCAUGUGGGCCCCUAACAGUUGGAGCUGGCUGCCUUUGGAUUCCUUUUCCCUAACUGGAUGGCCUUGUUGGAUUUCAGUGGAAGAGGUUUCUGCUUGGUUCAGCUUUGACUUGAUCCGUCCGGGUUGGGAGAAGGUGCAGACAGUGCAUAGGCUCUGUGCAGCUGAACACAGCUGAAAUUGAAAUGGCAACCUGCUUUAGAAGGAUGAUCCUGGACUGAGAGAUCUCUAAGAUGAUAUUAUGAAAAGGGCUGGGAAAAGAUAAGCAGGAAUCAGGAAUCAAGCAACAGCAUAGAAAUAAUGAUUUCCCAACACAUCUCAUGGGAAAAAAUGGGAUGAAAUCAAAGAUACAUUCACCCCAAAUCUUGUCCUCAUAAGACCCUGUCAUGAAGAAGAAGAAGAAGAAGAAGAAGAAGAAGAAGAAGAAGAAGAAGAAGAAGAAGAAGAAGAAGAAGAAGAAGAAGAAGAAGAAGAAGAAGCAGCACUGGGUAUGUUGACUCACACUUGAAAUCCCGACACACUGGAGGCUGGGGAAUAAUUUCCAGGAACAUGAGGGCAGCCUGAGCUCCAAAGUGACUUCCAGAAGCCUGGGAUACAUUGUGAGACCUUGCCUCACAAGACAAACACACCGCUUUCCAAGCUUUCCCACCUGUCUCUUCUAAGACAGCAUCAUCUCAAGGCCCAAAGGCAAUGAAGUCCCUGAUUAGCACCAGAGAGUAGACUUGGUGAACAGUUCUUUGAUAGAUUUUGCUCUUCACCUACACUUCCAACAGUGUUAUUUAAAUCAGAUAAUCAAAGAAAUCUAAAAAUAUAUAUAUAAUAAUAAUAAAUUCAAGUAUCAUUAAGAUACUGCAAGACUGUCCUUUAGAAGUUUUCCCAACACUGAUUCCACACAAGGGGGAGGGGCUGUGGGAGGGGAGACAUAGAAAGUAGAGUAAGCAGGAACCCUGGGCAGGAAAAACGAGAAGGCAAAAUGCUUUUGCUUUAUUUAGAUAGACUUUAAUGAUUUGGAUGGACUCCGUUCCAGGCGACUCUACCUUCAGCACCAAGGCCAGCGCACCUGGUCCAGGAGCCUUCCCUUUUCUUCACCCAGCACUCAGGCUCAGCACAAUCUACGAAACGCGCUUUCCUAACUUAUGAAUCAGGCUUAUUAAUUUUCCGAAAGUGGCCAUGGGAACCAUCAGGAUAUUUCUUCUACGAAAAAUGAAAAUGAUCAAUUUGUUGGAGAGCUCCCUUGCAUGUGUGCACAGAGACACCAUCGGGCUGGGUUGGCUGAGUUCUUCUGGAGUUACUCCUCUGGGCCAGCCCCCUCUUUGCACAACGAGGUUAGGAGUAGCUCUUGUUUCUAGUCCUGCUUGGUGGUUUCGGUAUAAGGGUGAGAAGAGGAGGAACCCAGGUGUUCUGGGCUCUGAUGUUCUGGGAUUUCUUUUUCUAAGGGCUUAUUCUUCAGGUUAAUGUAUAAUUCCUGAUUCUAACAAAGGACUACUCUCUGCCACGAAGAUUAAUAUUCCCGGAGAAGAUAACGGAAGUCCCGUGAGGGGACAGCUCGAACAUUAGUUUUCUCUUUGUGAAUUAAGAAACUGGUCACAAAAGAUUACUAAUCACCCCUAUAACACAGCAAAUCACUGACCACCAUAAGCUUAACGCCCAGAUUUCCAGGGAAUAUCCACCCAUGCCCAAAUUGGUCCCUUUUCAGCAAACUACAUAGAUAUACCACUGUCUCCGGGGGUCACAGUUAUUCACCCCUUGUUCCAGUGCAGUUGUCUGAAAAUAGAGUUAGAAAAUUGAAAAUGAGACGGAUGUCGGGGAGGAGAGGAUGCUGGUUGCUGUGGCGUCUUGGCUUCCAUGUUUAGAAGCCAAACGGAUUCCAAGAUUGCUGGGUGAUACACCCUAGCCAGCGGCACAGCUCCUGGCCUUCUGCAGGGGUCCGUGCAACCUCGGCGCUAGCAGCUGUCCCCUCUCAAGGAUCGUCAGCCACAGAGUUCAUGGCCAAACUUGGAAGAACAGGGGUGGUCCCGUGGUGGCACCUGUGCCAGAGACGCCCUGAGCGCACUGCACAGAAAGAGGACACUUCACUGUGGCCGGCUGCGACUGCCAGACCCAGGAAGUGUGGGGAAUCAACGAACUCUGGGGCCCGGCUCCAGGUCCAGAGGACUGAC